ACCUCAUUGCAACCUCCAUCUCCCAGGUUCAAGCUAUUCCCCUGCCUCAGUCUCCUGAGUAGCUGGUUUUAUAGGUGCAUGCUGCAACCACACCCUGCUACGUUUUUGUAUGUUCAAUAGAGACAAGGUUUCACCAUGUUGGCCAGGGUGAUCUUGAAGUCCUGACCUCAGGUGAUUCUCCUGCCUCUGCCUCCCAAAGUGCUGGGAUUAUAGUUGUGAGCCACCGCACCCAGCAAUUAACUUAUUUUUAUCUGUUAAAAUCAUUAUAAACAUGAUAGAACCAUUAGUAAACACAAAUGAGAAUAAACAGAAUUUAAAAAUAAUCCAUAGUCAUAGUUCUCUGUAUUACAACCACUUUAACAUGGAUACAUCUUUAAAACAAAAAUAAGAUGAGACAUUUAAUGUCACAUUUCUGCCUAGCUGCUUUUAGGACAAAUAUUGGAGAACUGGCUACAUUAAAUCCAUACUUUGAAAAGCAGGUUUGGGUAGUUUUAAGGCAUAUGCAAUUCCUAAGAAUCCUCAAUUUUUGAAAAAUUGAAUACCUAUUUAUAAAUAGUAAUGUUCAACAAUACCUUAUUUGUAAGUUUUUCAAAUCUAUACUAGUACUAUGUACUGAACUAUUAUUUCUGUGAAUUAUUAAGUUGCCUAAUACUUUUAGCUUAUUCAUCCUGAGGACGAUUCAGUUUUUAAUCAUUUCUUUUCUUCCCCUUCCACAGAAAAGAAAAGGAGGUAACUGAGCAAGGCAACAAGCCUCUUGUUUGGCAGCAAGCUUUUAGCAGAAAAUUGCUGUCUACACAAGUGGUAUCAACUGUCAUUACACCUGCUUGCAAAUAUGAAGACAGGCAAGGGCAUGAUCAGUCAAUCUGGUUAUUGACUUCAGGUAUCUCACUUCAGAGGUGAUUGCAAUUUCACCAAGUGUCCCAGCCAUGUGUGAAAACUAUGUUUUAAGGAACUCUGCGACCAAUAAUAAGUUACAUGAGAACAUUGCUUUGAAAGUUUCUGAAGAUUCCACAGGCAAUGAGAAUAUGAGCUGUGAUUCUAGCCCCCUCAACUAGCAUUUGCAACCAUUCUUUUAAAUUCUAUUGUCAAAUUUCGAGUAUCACAUUAUAGUUUUUCUAACAGUAGCAAAUUACAGAAAAGAAGAUCUUACUUUUGACUUUUAAACAGCAAUUAAGCAUUUGCCUAUAAAAUUCUAAAUUUGCUUCCUUUAUGGUAAGGUCUGCUUGGUUGAAUUAGCUAAAAACGUGUACUUAUUCAUAUACUGACUUCCAGAACAGUUCAAGGGAUCUUUUGCAUUAUGUACUUGUAGAUAUAUGAGAUUUAGAGAAAAAGUAAAAGCUGAGUCAGUCAUUAUUGCACUCAUUUUGUGAUUAUAAAUUUGCUUGGAGGUCUAGGGAGUAAAAGUUUUAAUACAAUUGAUAGCCCAGCUUAUUUAAAGAAACAACAGGUCUAUGGCUUUGUGCACUAGGCUUAGCAUGAAGUUUGCACUGCUUUCUGAUGUCAAUACUUGUUAUUAUCUUUGUGAUUAAAUCCAGUUUCCAUUUAUCAUCCAAACCAGGCAAUCAGUAACUUUACAUUUCUCUUCCAUUACCUUCAAAGGAGUAUUUUGUGAAUCCUCCAUUUACUUAUCUACAUUUUCAAAUGCCCUGAUUCACUCCUCAACCUGUCCAUAUCUCAUGAGGGUGAGCACAAAAAUAAAUAAGGCCAGAAAGAAUGGAGGUUUAUAAUUAUACAGUGUAUUAUACAGUGUAUUGACCUUUGGAGUGGUGUUUUCUAAAUUAUUAUUUGUGUGUGUGUGUGUGUGUGUGUGUGUGUGUGUGUGUGUGUGUUUCAAUUAAAGAUUCAGACAAAGGAAGAAUCCUGGACUUGCUUUUCAUGUCAUCUCCACGAAGAUGUUAAGAAGAGCUGCUCUGCACCCAUCCUGUUUGUAAAAACAACCUUCCCAGAGGAACCCCAGACCAUUAUUGUUCUCCCCUGUUCCUGCUGAUAAUUGAUUCAGGAAGCUUUCUUGAAGAAUGAGGGGUUCUAUUUCAUUAUUACUACUGCUGAAUAUGUUACACAUGAAUUGUAAAAAAUUUGAAUGCAAUAAAAUGAAUAGCAGUACAACUAUAAUGAAUAUAAUUUAGGCCUUCAGGGUACAGAAUUUGCAGUGCUGCAAACAUUCAUUUUGAACAUCAAUGAUAAUUACAUUGUAGCUAUAAAAAUAUAGAAAACGGACUGAAAUGACCUUCCUUCUGUAAUACUCUGCAAGUUGUUUGAUAAAAGGAAUUCUAUCACUUGUCUGUUUCAUAUGUCGGGGAAGAUGGAGGUAAGGGUGUGGGGAAUGGGCGACAAUGAGAGGAGGGCAGAUGGGAGUGUGGGAUGUAGCUCUUUAUUUUGUAAUUGUGUUAUAGUGUAUAAGAAAUAGUGAUGUUAGUAAGCUUCAGCAAGGACCCACCAUAAAUGUAAGUAGAGGCAGGGACAGAGACGAGGACACUGAAACAAGUUAUAUGGUCUCAGUAAUGGGACAAUGCCACUUUGUUCUCUUUUUUUCAGAGAAUGCAAGUCAAACAAUAAGUGGAAGACUCUCAAGCUUAUUCACCCAGAUCAUGACAUGAAGAUAUUCAAUGCGUACUUCCGGAGUACAUGAACAGAUGGAUAGAAGAAUUCUAAAUGCUGGAGGAUUUGCAGAGAGCAGGAAUGCAGCAGCCGAAGUCAAACCGGAACCAUCCUCUGCGUCAUGAUAACUGCUUUCACCACCUACUCAAGCAUGGGCUGCACAUCUUCAGGAGGUGCUCUUCCGCCUGUGGAGCAAGACACUGAAAGAAAGAUUACUGCUCAUUGACAAAUUCACCUGGUCACUCAAGAACUCUGAUGGAGAGGUAUAGGUAUGUGAAUGUUGUUUUUAUGCCUGCAAACAUGACAUUCAUUCUGCAACCCAUGAAUCAAGGAAUAAUUUUAACUUUCAAGUCUUAUUAUUUAAGAAGCAAAUUUUGUGAAGCUAUAGGUGCUAUAGAUAUUGUUUCCUUCUGGAAAGGAUUCAGCAUUCUAGAUGUUGUUAAGAACAUUUGUGGUUCAUGGGAGGAGGUCCAAAUAUUGACAUUAGCAGGAGUUUGGAAGAAAUUGGUUUUAACCUUUAUGGAUGACUGAGGAGUUUGAAACUUCAGUGGAGAAAGCCACUGCAGAUAUGAUGAAAAUAGAACUAUAAUUAAAAAUGCAGCCUAAAAAUGUGACUGAAUUACCAUAAUCUUAUAAUAAAAUCCAAAUGGACAAAGAAUUUAUUCUAGUAGAUAAGCAAAUAAACUGAUUUUCUGAGAUGGAAAAUACUCCUGGUGAGGAUGCUAUGAACUUUGUUGAUAUGACAACCAAGGAUUGAGAGUAUUACAUGAACUUAGUUGAGGAAGUAGCAGCAGCGGUUGAGAGGAUUGACUCCAAUUUUGAAAGGAAUGCUACUGUGGGUAAGAUACUAUCAAACAGCAUUGCAUACUGCAGAGAAAUCUUUCAUGAAAGAAAGUAAUCAAGUUGGCAAAUUUCCUUGCUAUCUUUUUUUAAUUUUUAUUUUUGAGACCCAGUAGCCAGAUGUAGCUACUAAUUACAAAAGACAGGAUCUACAUUGGCUACUGAGCCUUCCUUGCUGUCUGAAUGUAAGAAAUUGCCACAGUCACCCCAGCCGUUAACAACUACCACCCUGAUUAGUCAGCAGCCAACCACAUUGAGGCCAGACCCUUCAACCAGCAAAGAUUGCGACUCGCUGAAGGCUCAGUAGGAUUUCCAGCUCCUAGAAGCCAGAGAUCAUGUUACUCAUUCUUUUGCAUCCUUCCCAGGGUCUAGUGGAGCACUGAGCAUCAUGUGAGUAGCCUAUAAACAAUUGUUGAGUCUUGUUGAAUUGAACUUAAAAUGUCCACAUUCCUCGUGCUAAUCAAAGAAGUAAUGAAAAAUUCCCCUGCUCUCUGCAGUCUGACUAUUUCCAGAAGUAAUUAUUAUCAGACUAACAUUACAGGGAAGGAAAAGCCAAAGAUCAAUGCAAAGUAGUACAAAGAAACGUCAAAAGAAAAACAAUUUGCCUUUAACCCAGUCCUGUCUGAGCUGCAGAAAGGGGAUAUUUGGUGAAUGUUUGGUAAAUGUUACAACACCCGUGGUCUCUUGUGAUUGUCACAUGUACCAGAAGCAUAGAGCAGACAGAUUUUUAAAUAUAUAUAUAUUUAUUUAAAGUUUGAAGUUCUAAUAAAAAGUUCUGUGUUUAUUUCAUACCAUUUCUUUGAUGUUUUAGUAAGCUGGUGUGUGAAAGUAAUUUUCCACAUCUAUGACUAAUUUCUAAAUAUUGAUUCAGUGCUUUAGACAUUGGAUUUUACUAUGCAAUCUCCUCCCUCUUGUAAAGCUUGUGAGUGUCAUGUGCAGGAAGAAAGGCAGGGAGAACAGUAUCUUCUGUGCACUUAAUCAGUAUCACAUGGGCUUCCUUGAUCUAGUGGGCUUGGGUUCCCUAUUUUAAAACUGCCCUCUUAUUUUUCUAGACGAUGCAUUUACUAGCUUCUAGUUUUUAAAAUCAUCUCGCUAAUUUCUUGUUUUUAUAGUUAAAUUAUUAAAUCUUUCACUUUAUACUUUCUUGUGUCUUUCCCAGUGUCUAGCAGAGUCAUAAGCAACUUGUUUAUAUUCAAUAUACAAUUGUUAAAUCAUGUUGACUUGAAUUUAAAAUUGAAAAGGAAUUUUAAAAUGUGAAAGUUUUGCACAGGAUCUAUUGAAUAAUAUUAUAAAAUGGUUAAAUGGUUAAGCAAAAUAGCAAUUUUACCCAAACUGGGCUGGGCAUUACAUAUAUAUAUGCACAUAUAUAUUUGUGUGUGUGUGUAUAUAUAUAUAUAUAUGUAUACACACACACACACACACACACACAGCCAGGCCUUGGCUAUUUCCUGUAACAUUUGUCUUAUAUAUGCUAUCUAAAGAUGUCUCUGGAAAAACACCAAGAACAUUUUUAAAAGUGUUUGAAAUUUUUUGUUGUGUAAGAACAAAAAAUUUAGGUAGUACUGUCUGGAAUCUAUUUUUUUUCUGUUACUUUAGCUUUUUAAAAAACAUUUUAUGUUUAUUUUAAGUUCUGGGGUUCAUGUGCAGGAUGUGAGGUUUGUUACACAGAUAAACAUGUGCCGUGGUGGUUUGCUGCAUCUAUCAACUCACAAUCUAGGCAUUAAGCCCAGCUUGCAUUAGCUAUUUUUCUAAUGCUCCCUCUCACCUCACCCCAUCUCCCAAUAGGCCGCAGUGUGUGUUGUUCCCCACCCUUUGUCCAUGUGUUCUCAUUGUUUGGCUCCUACUUGUAAGUGAGAAUGUGCAGUGUUUGGUUUUUUGUU